rnacentral:rRNA from 1 species
CCGUAGCCCAAGAGAUCGGGAUAACACCUGGAAACAGAUGCUAAUACCGGAUAACAACAGAUGAUGCCUAUCAACUGCUUAAAAGAUGGUUCUGCUAUCACUCUUGGAUGGACCUGCGGUGCAUUAGCUAGUUGGUAGGGUAACGGCCUACCAAGGCGAUGAUGCAUAGCCGAGUUGAGAGACUGAUCGGCCACAUUGGGACUGAGACACGGUCCAAACUCCUACGGGAGGCAGCAGGU